rnacentral:rRNA from 1 species
GACGAACGCUGGCGGCGUGCCUAAUACAUGCAAGUCGAGCGAAGUUUUUCCGGUGCUUGCACCGGAAAAACUUAGCGGCGAACGGGUGAGUAACACGUAAAGAACCUGCCUCAUAGACUGGGACAACUAUUGGAAACGAUAGCUAAUACCGGAUAAUAGCAUUAACUGCAUGGUUGAUGUUUAAAAGUUUGUUUUUCUAACACUAUGAUAUGGCUUUGCGGUGCAUUAGCUAGUUGGUGGGGUAAAGGCCUACCAAGGCGACGAUGCAUAGCCGACCUGAGAGGGUGAUCGGCCACACUGGGACUGAGACACGGCCCAGACUCCUACGGGAGGCAGCAGUAGGGAAUCUUCCGCAAUGGGCGAAAGCCUGACGGAGCAACGCCGCGUGAGUGAAGAAGGAUUUCGGUUCGUAAAGCUCUGUUGUUAGGGAAGAAUGAUUGUGUAGUAACUAUACACAGUAGAGACGGUACCUAACCAGAAAGCCACGGCUAACUACGUG